rnacentral:tRNA from 1 species
CGGGGCGUGGCGCAGCUUGGCUAGCGCGCUACAAUGGGGUUGUAGAGGUCCGCGGUUCGAAUCCGCGCGCCCCGA